CCCGCCCAUGCUUGGAGAGUCACCCUUGUGCUAUUCCUGGAUACUGCAGCCUAAGUCCCCUAAAGGCUCUUCCAGAUGGCGUAUGUUUGCCUAUUCAUGAUUUCUGUCUCCACAGAGCAGGUUGAGCUGGUGACAUCAAAGGCCACUGGCACCGGAAGUGGCCAGCAGCAGUGAAGAACUUGGAAGCCCUUUUGUUCUGCAGUGCGUGUGAAUACCAGGCCCCUUGUUGUCCUCUGGGACCACAAGCUGGGAAAUAAAGUACCUAGUGGGGCUCUGCUGGCUCCCAGCUCUGAUGGAAGCAAACCUCACAAGAAAGACACCUUCAGAGGCUGUGGCAGGUUUCUCUCAGGAGAUGAGAAUCACACUGAGGAAAAGUAACCCAGACUCUUGGGAACCCCUGAGCAGUCCGGAAUUGAUCUGUAAGCUCCACGUGUUCCAGCGUCAUAAGAAUAGGAAAAUGAGUGAGACACAAGGUGAAGAGACAACAGCCAAGGAGGAGAAAGCGAUGUGCUUUCAGUCUGCCUGAAUGGUAGUGAGCCUCGCUUGAAUGGCAGGAGCUGGUCAGGAUGGGAGGUGACGUUUUUGAGGCUACGGCAGAAUGGCUGUUCGUCCUUCUAAUUCAAGACAUCUCUGAAACACCUUCCCAUUCAGUCUACAUAUUUCCAGGCCCAGCUCCUUGGAUCUCAUGUCUUCCCUGAAUGUGUUCUGUUGUCCACUUGCAACCCGCAUAACUGAUGGAAUCACGUCCUACAGAGCACUGCGUGGGAUCUAAAGGUCUCUUUAAGGUUGGGACGAUGCUGCAGGAAUCAAUAAAAGCUGCACUCACCUGACUAGACCGUGUGCAGCCCUGAGGAAUGUGCUUCUCUUGUGCUGUGUCUGUGACAGCUCUUUGAGAUGGGUAUUCAUUCCAUCCCAUUUAAAGAUGAGCUAACUGAGGGUCAGGUAUGUUGCACACAGCUAGUUUCUAGCAGAGUGGGGACUGGAGGCCUGGCAGGCAAGAUGCCCUCCCAUCUAAGGCCCAGGAACUAAGCUACCCUGCUCUCUUUGCAGCCCCUCAGACUUUAAGUGAUGCAUGGUUAAUUCAGCCUGCAGCAGCUGAAUUAAUAUUAGUGGUCCCGAG
rnacentral:lncRNA from 1 species